UACGAAGUCAUACAACUAAACACACAAGUGACUUGUUAACCGAACUUUUACGAAGCUAUGUGACCAAACACAAAGCUAGCGUGCUAAUCAAAAUUCCGGGACGUCAGAGGCAAUGUCGACAUCUUACGUUUGACAGCGGGCUUACCAAACACCGUAUAGUACAGAGCUAGGUCAAUUAGCUCACGUAAAAUACUGUAAUUUAAGAUAACCAAUACCCUAAUUUUCCCCAAAAACCAUCGAUUGUGUGUGUGUGUCUGUGAGAGUGCUAGCUUGAGCUAACCAACACACCAUAUAGCUACCUUGAGCUGCCCAAACACUGUAUAGCUAGCUAGCGAUUACACCGACACAAGUGUAAUUCAAUUGCUAGCUAGCUAGCUAGGUAAAUUAGCUCGCCUAAGAUACUGUAAUUUAAGCCAACCAAUUACCUCAUUUCCGCCAAAACCCAUCGAUUGUGUGUGUUUGUGAUGUGUAACAUAUAUCCUUAAUCAGUCAUUCAAGUUAUUAACGUUUAUUUACCGCUAGCGAUUACACCGACACAAGUGUAAUUCAAUCGCUAUUAAUGUUGAACUUGAACUUCAACAACGUGACACAACUUUAAAAGUCA
ensembl:lncRNA